UACGUAGGCAGCAAGCGUUGUUCGGAAUUACUGGGCGUAAAGAGUGUGUAGGCGGUGCUCCAAGUCUGGUGUGAAAUCUCCCGGCUCAACUGGGAGGGUGCGCUAGAAACUGGAAUGCUAGAGGAUGGGAGAGGUAAGCGGAAUUCCUGGUGUAGCGGUGAAAUGCGUAGAUAUCGGGAAGAACACCCGUGGCGAAGGCGGUUCUCUGGGACGGUACUGACGCUGAGACGCGAAAGCGUGGGGAGCGAACAGG
rnacentral:rRNA from 1 species